AUGUUCGGGUUUAAUCUUGUUAGUAGAGUAUAUAUAACAAAUACAUUCACUAAAAAGAUACAGUACACUACAACAAAUACAUUUUCCAGCCGUGUCACCUUCCCCACCAGCUUUUACCAAAUUUCCCGACGCGAGAGCGAGAGACCUACUUUCCCCUCGUCUCAGGCCAUGGCUCUUAGGGUUUCCACCCUGCCCGUCGCCGCCGUCGGCCGCGCCGGCAACUACACCGUGCACGGCAUCACGGAGAGCCCGGGGGGCAUCUGGGACGGCCUCACCAUCGUCGGCAUCGUCGUCACCGGAGUACUCCUCCGCCGUCGCCUUCGCAGCUGGAGCAGGCACCUGUUCUCUGGUUCCCGGCCCCAUGACCCCCAGCACCGAGACCUAAGGGUGAGGGCCGACCGGGCUGAAAACAAGGGCAAACGUGAGGAGUGGGCGGAGACAAACCGCCGGUUUACCAAGAAGGCCGGGCAAGGGAACCGCUAA
rnacentral:rRNA from 1 species